ensembl:miRNA
AGGCAGUGUCUUGUUAGCUGGUAGUUUCUUCCUGUGCCAGCUCACCUGCUGCUGCCCUC